GGGGCCCAGCAAUGGGCAACCGGCGAACGGGUGCGUAACACGUGAGCAACCUACCUAGGUGUGGGGGAUAGCCGGCCCAACGGCCGGGUAAUACCGCAUACGCUCUUCUUUAGGCAUCUAGAGGAGAGGAAACCUUCGGGGCACCAUGAGGGGCUCGCGGCCUAUCAGCUAGUUGGCGGGGUAAUGGCUCACCAAGGCUACGACGGGUAGCUGGUCUGAGAGGAUGGCCAGCCACAUUGGGACUGAGAAACGGCCCAGACUCCUACGGGAGGCAGCAGUGGGGAAUCUUGCGCAAUGGCCUAACGGCUGACGCAGCGACGCCGCGUGAGGGAUGACGCUCUUCGGAGUGUAAACCUCUUUUGCCUGGAACGAACUAUCAGCAUUUGCUGAUUUGACGGUACCGGGUGAAUAAGCACCGGCUAACUCCGUGCCAGCAGCCGCGGUAAUACGGGGGGUGCGAGCGUUGUCCGGAAUCACUGGGCGUAAAGGGCGCGUAGGUGGCAUGAUAAGGGUGUGGUGAAAGCCCGGGGCUCAACCCCGGGUCGGCCAUGCCGACUGUCAAGCUGGAGUACUGUAGGGGCAGGCGGAAUCCCGGGUGUAGCGGUGGAAUGCGUAGAGAUCCGGAGGAAGACCGGUGGCGAAGGCGGCCUGCUGGGCAGUUACUGACACUGAUGCGCGACAGCGUGGGGAGCAAACAGGAUUAGAUACCCUGGUAGUCCACGCCGUAAACGAUGGGUACUAGGUGCCUGGGGGAGCGACCCCUUGGGUGCCGGCGCUAACGCAGGAAGUACCCCGCCUGGGGAGUACGGCCGCAAGGCUGAAACUCAAAGGAAUUGACGGGGGCCCGCA
rnacentral:rRNA from 1 species